rnacentral:piRNA from 1 species
UACUAGAAACCUGCCCAGUUACC